AACGAACGCUGGCGGCAUGCCUAACACAUGCCAGUCGAACGAGACCUUCGGGUCUAGUGGCGCACGGGUGCGUAACGCGUGGGAACCUGCCCUUAGGUUCGGAAUAACUCUCCGAAAGGGGUGCUAAUACCGGAUAAUGUCUUCGGACCAAAGAUUUAUCGCCUUUGGUUGGGCCCGCGUUGGAUUAGCUAGUUGGUAGGGUAAAAGCCUACCAAGGCGACGAUCCAUAGCUGGUCUGAGAGGAUGAUCAGCCACACUGGGACUGAGACACGGCCCAGACUCCUACGGGAGGCAGCAGUGGGGAAUAUUAGACAAUGGGCGAAAGCCUGAUCCAGCAAUGCCGCGUGAGUGAUGAAGGCGUUAGGGUUGUAAAGCUCUUUUACCCGGGAUGAUAAUGACAGUACCGGGAGAAUAAGCGCCGGCUAACUCCGUG
rnacentral:rRNA from 1 species